rnacentral:rRNA from 1 species
AACGAACGCUGGUGGCAUGCCUAACACAUGCAAGUCGAACGAGACCUUCGGGUCUAGUGGCGCACGGGUGCGUAACGCGUGGGAACCUGCCCUUAGGUUCGGAAUAACUCCCCGAAAGGGGUGCUAAUACCGGAUAAUGUCUUCGGACCAAAGAUUUAUCGCCUUUGGAUGGGCCCGCGUUGGAUUAGCUAGUUGGUAGGGUAAAAGCCUACCAAGGCGACGAUCCAUAGCUGGUCUGAGAGGAUGAUCAGCCACACUGGGACUGAGACACGGCCCAGACUCCUACGGGAGGCAGCAGUGGGGAAUAUUGGACAAUGGGCGAAAGCCUGAUCCAGCAAUGCCGCGUGAGUGAUGAAGGCCUUAGGGUUGUAAAGCUCUUUUACCCGGGAUGAUAAUGACAGUACCGGGAGAAUAAGCACCGGCUAACUCCGUG